rnacentral:lncRNA from 1 species
GGAAUCUUCACUCACUAUGAUAACCCUUAUCCAUUCUUCUUCUGACUGUAAUACCAUUCCAGACUCGGGAGUCUUUUUUCUGGAAAAUAUCAUAUUCACUUUUAUUUUUGUGUAUGCAAAUAUAUUAUUCUUAAAUGGCUGUGCAUACUUUGUUCCUUGGUUACAUAUUUCAAAUGUUGUUCCAAGAAUGAUAGAAAUAAUACGUGAUGUGAAAUACUAUUACCUUUUUAUUAUUAUUUAUUUAAUUUGCAUCAGCACUUAAUCCUUUUAGCUUGUGGAAGUAAAGUAAAAGUGUUUAGGAAAGCUGUGAAUCCGAGAUGUGGCAAGCUUCAAAACUGACACAGAGAGGUCAACUCAUAUCAAAUAAACACAAGAAAAACAGAAAUAGCAUAUAGAUAUAGAUAUAGAUAUACAUGAUAGAUACAGAAAUUGAUAUGGUACAGAUAGAUAAGAGAAUGAUAUGACAUGCUAUGCUGGCAUUGUUUGUUGCAUAAAGAUAUUGGGUUGGGGGCUGGGGAAAGACUAAUG